GCGGAAGUGGUGGAAUUGGCAGACACGGCGGACUCAAAAUCCGCUGCCCUUCAAAGGCUUGCGGGUUCGAGUCCCGCCUUCCGCACCA
rnacentral:tRNA from 1 species